GCAUUUCAAAGUUUCAAAUUGAUGCAGCAGCGCAGGGGUUCGAAGUUCGGCACACGUAUAUGGUUGACGCUCCCACAUCGCUGCGAAGCACAUCGAUGAGAAGUACAUUGGCUAUAGGCCGAUAUUUCAUUGAAAUCUUCAAAAUAUGAAAAAUCUGACUACCUAAGUUACGGCAUAGACUGUUCGUUCCUGUAUUUUGCUGGACAUUAGAAUUACCAAAGUUACAGCAUAGCUUGUUCGUUCCUGUAUUUUGCUUGAAGUUAGAAUAUGAGCCUCUAAUGGAAGCAGAUGAUGAUGAUGAUGAUGAUGAUGACAAUAGCAAUAAGAACAUCAAAACCUUCAAGCAGACAAGGCAAGUUAAGGGAGCAAGGAAGAGAUUCUGCUAAGCACUCCAACCGAAGAACGUGUAAUAUUCUGGGAAAGAUGAAGGAUUUGAGACGGUACAGAGUUCAUGCAGGAGGCAAACAAAGGAACAAGAAAGAUGUCAAAAGGGAGGAGAAUGUUUAUCUGAUAUCUUAGAAAAGCAAGAAGGAAAGAAUAAAGGGUACCAACAAGAACCCAAACACCAACAAUGUGAUAACUCCUCUUGGGGAUUACUGCCUGACUUGCGGUUAUUAGACCGCUUUUCAUCUAAAGAUUUGGGACCAUGUAGGAGUGUGCAUAGUGUACAAAGCCAUUCAUUUAUGCAGUUUCACUCCAUUGGUUUGUAUUGAUGAAAUUUAUAUCCAAUCCCAAUCGGUGCCAUACAAGCCUGGUGUCUGUAAAUGCUCCUGUGAGUAAUGUGCUGACCAGGUUUAUCCCUGAAAUUGUUAGUGAACGGAGCAGCUGGAGGAUCCCAGCCCUUGGUGAUAAAUGCUGGGUAUUGUGGUGAAUAAUAAUCUUUAAUAUCAUCAAAACACUUGUCUACAAACAGGAAAAACAAUUUAGAAAUUUGUUUUAUUGACAAGAUUUGAUGAUGAUAACUUAUGAAAUUUAGAUAAUUGAAAAUGUGUCACAGAUAUGUAAUCCCCUCUCACCCAUAUUUAGUGUUUGUCGUCCAGUUAAUCAUUUGUCGUCCAGUUUAUCAUUACUCUAAACAAAAGACUUUAAUGAAGAACACACCUUCAAGACAAGGAUUGACUAACUCCUCACUACUUGCGCACUUAUUUCAAAGAAAAACGUUUAUCAACCAUAAUCUGUCAGUCUCAUUGGCUACCAGACAAAUCGCCUGCCCACAAAUGCUACAGGUCCUUGAAAUUGUCAAAGAAAAGACCACUUAGAGGACAUUGGCUCGUCUAAAAUGUAACUGGACUCUGUGAUGGGUCACUUUCUAUAAAUUUGUUUAUUAUCAUCUGAACAAUUUCAGCUUUCUUAUCAUUGCAGAAUUUUUGUUUAUUUUGAUUUUCAACAGUUUUUUUAAAUUAUAGUUCACAAUCUGCUUCAUAUGUAAACCCCAACUGAGAUGUGCAAUACAAAAAGAAAUCAAAAGUAAAUCAAUGAUUCAAGACUUAUAAAAGCCAUGUCCACCCCAAGAACAAAUGGAUUUGGACGAAAAGGGAAAAAUCAAACGAACAUGCUUUAUGCUGAAAAUUUCAUCAAAAUUGAAUGUUAUUAUAGUAUUUGAAAAGAGGUCGGAUUUUUCCUUUAAGAUUUACUUACAAGAGUUGGACGAAGAGGGUGUAAAGUGUUUGUCUUAUCACAACAUUGAAAUGUACAUCUCAGAACAAAUAGUUCCAUUUUUGUAAAGUUAUUAUAUUGAAUAUGGACUGUUAUUAGAAAUGAAAAUUAUAUAUAAUUAUGUAAAUUGCUUGGGAUAAAGUAUACUUCCUUUUUUAUGAAAUUGUAUUACGGAAUGGUGUUAUAACUUAGUAAAGAGGAAGGAUCUUGUGAAAGUGAUUAUGUUACGCGGGAAGAAAACCCGCUUGGUCAGUAGAGAUCGAUUGUUUUGAGGUCAUUGGUCAAGCUACUCAGUGAGGAGAGCAAUCAGUCAGAGAGUCCUGUAGGAUCCAGAUAAUUUAGAUCUCAAUCCUGUCGAGGAGUUCGAAUGUUCAUUGUUGAUGGAACUAGCUGGAUUGUGAUGAUUUCUGGGUUUUCUACGAAGAUUGCAGUGUUGGGUACCGGAAUCUGACCCUAGAAAGUGAUUGUUUUGGUCCUUGGUAUGGUUUUUAACCUGUAUCUGCCCUAGUCGGAGGUUUUUUCUUUUCCAAUUUGUUAUAUACUGAACAACUGUUGUGCUCAAGUGGGAAAUUAAAUUCCGCUCACAACCUACAACUCUCGUCGUAUCGUGUCUUGUGUUCUGGAGUGUCCUGACAACUUCCCCCAAAAAUCCAGAAUACUACAUUAUGUCAGUUCAAAGUUUUUCUGUAUUCAGCAAAACAGUUAUAUACACAUCAUGCUUUGUAUGCAAUUUAGAAAGUGAUGACAUCAAGUCACUAUUUCUUUUGUAUUUUUAUUAAAUAAAAUAUGAAAUAUUUCAUUUUUUUCCUCCUUAGGAAACAAACCAAGUUUGAUUCUAUUCUCACAUUCUUCAUAAACCAUUGAUAAAACCUGUUGUGAAGAAAUUAAGUGUAUCUGUGUUAUCAUAUUUUCAAAAACAUGAAAUUUGGUAUGAUUUAUGUAAUAAAAUGCAAAAGAAGUAGUGAGUAUGUGACAUCAUCAACUCAUUGAUUUGGACAUGACCACGAUUUGGUUAUAACUGUUUUGUAUAAGAUAACCAAUAUUUUAAAAUUACAUUACUUUCUUAUUUUCCAUGCAAUUUGUAUUAAGUGUGUGACAUAAUGUUUCCUAGAUUGUCCUCUUUUGGUUCAAAUCAAUUUUUGUUGGGGGUGGACUACUCCUUUAAGGAAAGUGUCUUAAAUUGGUUACUUAUGUUACAUUUUUGUAUUGUUUUAUAUUAUCCAUUUACUACUGUUUUAUUUGUCACUGCACUUGAGUGUUUCGUGAUUACCAAUGUAUUCAGAUAAUUGGAAAUUCAGUUUUGCUGUUGUGAUUCUUUUGUGAAAUGGUGAUUGAAUGUAAAAAAGAAAAUUUGCAUCCAUUUUAGAUUUCAGUUCAUAUGUCUGCCUUUUGGAGAAACAGUUACCUGACUAGAUUUCAAAGUGUGAAGAUUGAAGGUCUAUAGUGUUUUUUUGUUCAUGGAAAUAGAAAGUAAGAAAUAUUUUUCUGGUCGGGCAGUGGCGGAGGCAUACAUUUUGACCGUGCACAGUCGAGAUUUAUCUAGUUUUCAAUGAGAAUUGUGGCAACAUCAUUUUAAUCACCAAAAAACAUAGAUUGUUUUGACUGAGUAAAAGUAGAAAUAAUGACACAUUUAUGAAUUUUGGGAGAAAAGUUUAUUUGAUUUGUUUUGAUCAUUACAGCAUUUUAAAGCCUGACAGUCAUUUACAUAAUAUUGCAUAACUUGAGAACCACAUAUAUGAAUUUGAUAUGGAACAAUGUGCAAAGCUUGUAUGUAAAUUGUGUUGAACCACUGUGUUGAUGAGUUCUCAACAUUGUCAGUUUUCACAGUUGAUUUAACACCACAAAAAAUUAAGCCAGUUAUAUUUAAAGAGAUCUUCAUUACCAAUUGACCUGCGUGAAUGGUAAAACAUCCCACUAUUCAUAAAGGAAAGUUAUUAUUUUAGUUUCUCUUUAUACAUCAGUAACUGACAUUGUCUAAAGCAAGCUAAAGAAUUUUUAUUCCUCUGCUCAUCAAAAGUGGUUGCCGGUGGCAUUAUGUUUUGGAUUAUCCGUCUGUUCGUCCAUCCGUUCAUCUGUCUGUUCAUUCCAUUUUUGUUCUCGCAGUAACUCAAAAACCAUUUCACAGAUCAACUUCAACUUGGACCAUAUAUGCAUUAGGUGCUCAAAAUGAUUUCACACAUGCGUAUGCAUGUAUGUAUCGUUAGAAAAAAAUUAAUAUUCAUAUUCUGUUGGUACAUGAUCUCAUUAUUUAGGGUUAACAGAUCAAGGUCAAGGUCAGAAAGUUCAAGCAAGUACAUAAUAAAUACUCUGUUCUUGCUACAACUCAAAAACAGUUUCAUGGAUUCACUUGAAACUUGAAUCCUGUAUGGAAUGGCGGUGAAGAAGAUCUCAUCAGUUUAAAGGUCAUGAGGUCAGAGGUCAAGUUCACAAAAUUAAAAAAAAAUAGAUAAAAAUACUCAUUUUUACUUUUACAAUUUUGUAGAUCAUCUUGUAACUUUGAUUGUGUAUGCAUCUGUAAUGAAUUUUUGCUUUUCGCUUAAUGGACUUUUUGCAAAAAAUAUCAAACAACAAAAAUGGUCUACUCCACCAGGCCCCCCCCCCCCUCUUCCCAGUGAAUUGUUAAACUAAGCAUCACUUUUCUGUUUAGAUGCAGUAUUUUGCAAUAAUACAUUAUAUGAAUGAAACUUUAUGUAUGUAGUCUGUGUAUGUAUUUAGGAUCCCUAUGAUAUUGGAAUAACAAUGUAAGCCCAAGCCUUCAGGGCUUUGGGUAACAGUUAAAAUGCUGUGAACCUUUUAAUUUGAUUAUUAUGAAUUAUUUGUUGAUCAUUGUUAUUGUAUUUAUAUUUUCUUUUUUAUGUUCAGAAAUCUGUCAUUAUCUUUUAUGGCUUUUGAUUGUACAAAUAAAGAUAGAAAAUAAAAAUACUAAAGAGUA